CCUCAGAUUCUUCUUCUUCCUCAAUCUCGGGAACAGUUCUUCUGCAA
rnacentral:sRNA from 1 species